GGUGAGAUGGCCGAGCGGUCUAAGGCGCCAGACUAAGGUUCGUUCACGAUAUCGUAUAAUCUGGUCCGAAAGGGCGUGGGUUCGAAUCCCACUCUCAUCA